rnacentral:rRNA from 1 species
GACAAACGCUGGCGGCGUACCUAAGACAUGCAAGUCGAACGGUUCCUCUGCGGGGGGACAGUGGCGGACGGGUGAGUAACGCGUACGGAACCUAUCACGGGGACGGGGGAUACCCCUGGGAAACCAGGGCUAAGACCGCGUACGCUCUCUUCCGGAAGGGGAAGAGAGGAGAGGAUGUCAUGAGGAGUGACAUCUGGCCUGUGCGGGGCGUGCGUCCGAUUAGCUAGUUGGAGGGGUAAGAGCCCACCAAGGCGACGAUCGGUCGCUGGUCUGAGAGGAUGAUCAGCCACACUGGGACUGAGACACGGCCCAGACUCCUACGGGAGGCAGCAGUUAGGGAACUUUCACACUGGGCGCAAGCCUGAUGGAGUAACGCCGCGUGAGCGAAGAA